AGGGUUUGAUUCUGGCUCAGGACGAACGCUGGCGGCGUGCUUAACACAUGCAAGUCGAACGGGAUCCACUGGGCUUUUGUUUGGUGGUGAGAGUGGCGAACGGGUGAGUAAUGCGUGACUAACCUGCCGUAUGGUUGGGGAUAGCUCCUGGAAACGGGUGGUAAUACCCAAUGCUCCAGCUGGAUGCAUGUCUGGUUGGGAAAGCUGUUGUGCCAUAUGAUGGGGUCGCGUCCUAUCAGCUUGUUGGUGGGGUGAUGGCCUACCAAGGCGUCGACGGGUAGCCGGCCUAAGAGGGCGACCGGCCACAUUGGGACUGAGAUACGGCCCAGACUCCUACGGGAGGCAGCAGUGGGGAAUAUUGCACAAUGGGCGCAAGCCUGAUGCAGCGACGCCGCGUGGGGGAUGACGGCCUUCGGGUUGUAAACUCCUUUCGUUAGGGACGAAGCCGCACCUUUUUUUGGGUGUGGUGACGGUACCUUUGUUAAGAAGCACCGGCUAACUACGUGCCAGCAGCCGCGGUAAUACGUAGGGUGCAAGCGUUGUCCGGAUUUAUUGGGCGUAAAGGGCUCGUAGGCGGUUUGUUGCGUCUGGUGUGAAAGCUUACUGCUUAACGGUAGGUUGCGCUGGAUACGGGCAGGCUUGAGUGCAGUAGGGGAGACUGGAAUUCUCGGUGUAACGGUGGAAUGUGUAGAUAUCGGGAAGAACACCUAUGGCGAAGGCAGGUCUCUGGGCUGUUACUGACGCUGAGGAGCGAAAGCGUGGGGAGCGAACAGGAUUAGAUACCCUGGUAGUCCAUGCUGUAAACGUUGGGCACUAGGUGUGGGGGGUCUUUCCGGGUCUUCCGCGCCGUAGCUAACGCAUUAAGUGCCCCGCCUGGGGAGUACGGCCGCAAGGCUAAAACUCAA
rnacentral:rRNA from 1 species